rnacentral:rRNA from 1 species
UACAGAGGUGGCAAGCGUUGUUCGGAAUUACUGGGCGUAAAGGGCGCGUAGGCGGCCUUCUAAGUCAGACGUGAAAUCCCCCGGCUUAACCUGGGAACUGCGUCUGAUACUGGGGGGUUUGAGUAUGGGAGAGGGAUGUAGAAUUCCAGGUGUAGCGGUGAAAUGCGUAGAUAUCUGGAGGAAUACCGGUGGCGAAGGCGGCAUCCUGGACCAUAACUGACGCUGAGGCGCGAAAGCUAGGGGAGCAAACGGG